rnacentral:misc_RNA from 1 species
GGAAGUAAAAGACGUAACAAGGUCUCCGUAGGUGAACCUGCGGAGGGAUCAUUACAGAGUUCAUGCCCUACCGGGUAGAUCUCCCACCCUAUGUUAUUAUUACUUUGUUGCUUCGGUGGGCCGUUAGGCUCCGGCCCGACUACCGGCCCCGGCUGGUAAGCGCCCGCCAGAGGACCCAAAACCCUGAAUAUUAGUGUCGUCUGAGUACUAUAUAAUAGUUAAAACUUUCAACAACGGAUCUCUUGGUUCUG